AGACGAAGACGAAGAAAAAGAAACCAAUACUAAUUAAAUUAAUGAUAAAUGAAAUAUAAAAAAAAGGAAGAUUUUUUGUAACGCUAAUUAUAACAGAAUAUAUACUUUAUAUAUACAAAUAAAAAAGAAAAAGAGAAAAAAACAAAACACAGCAAGCAAGCAACCACACAGAAAUAGGGGAAAAAAGUAUACUUAAAAGCAAUUGAAAAGUAGUAAAACAAUACCGGAGAAGUAGACAUACAUAGCUGAGAAGUUGGCUUUCGCCUUCGCAUAGAUACGUUCGGUCGUUUUCGACAAACAGCACUCAAAUACAAAUGCAAAUACAAAUACUAUUACAUCUGCGAGAG